ensembl:lncRNA
GGUUAGGGUUAGACUAGUGUCCUUUCCAGGGGUUUAGGGUUAGACUAGUGUCCUGUCCAGGGGGUUAGGGUUAGACUAGUGUCCUGUCCAGGGGGUUAGGGUUAGACUAGUGUCCUGUCCAGGGGGUUAGGGUUAGACUAGUGUCCUGUCCAGGGGUUAGGGUUAGACUAGUGUCCUGUCCAGGGGGUUAGGGUUAGACUAGUGUCCUGUCCAGGGGGUUAUGGUUAGACUAGUGUCCUGUCCAGGGGGUUAGGUUUAGACUAGUGUCCUGUCCAGGGGGUUAGGGUUAGACUAGUGUCCUGUCCAGGGGUUAGGGUUAGACUAGUGUCCUGUCCAGGAGGUUAGGGUUAGACUAGUGUCCUGUCCAGGGCUUAAGGGUUAGACUAGUGUCCUGUCCACGGGGUUAGGGUUAGACUAGUGUCCUGUCCAGGGCUUAGUGUUAGACUAGUGUCCUGUCCAGGAGAUUAGGGUUAGACUAGUGUCCUAUCCAGGGGGUUAGGGUUAGA